rnacentral:rRNA from 1 species
AAUCAACGCUGGCGGCGUGCCUCAGACAUGCAAGUCGAACGAUUAAAGCUCCCUUCGGGGAGUGCAUAAAGUGGCGCACGGGUGAGUAACACGUAAGUAAUCUACCCUCGAGUGGGGAAUAACGUCCGGAAACGGACGCUAAUACCGCAUAAUGCAGCGGCACCGCAAGGUGACAGUUGUUAAAGAUUUAUCGCUUGAGGAGGAGCUUGCGGCAGAUUAGCUAGUUGGUAAGGUAAUGGCUUACAAAGGCUGCGAUCUGUAACCGGUCUAAGAGGACGGUCGGUCACACUGACACUGAAUAACGGGUCAGACUCCUACGGGAGGCAGCAGUCGGGAAUUUUGGGCAAUGGGCGAAAGCCUGAACCAGCAACGCCGCGUGAAGGAUGAAGUAUUUCGGUAUGUAAACCUCGAAAGAAUGGGAAGAAUAAAUGACGGUACCAUUUAUAAGCUCCGGCUAACUACGUGCCAGCAGCCGCCGUAACAC